rnacentral:rRNA from 1 species
CACGUAGGGUGCGAGCGUUUGUCCGGAAUUAUUGGGCGUAAAGAGCUCGUAGGCGGUGUGUCGCGUCGGCCGUGAAAACCUGCAGCUUAACUGUGGGCUUGCGGUCGAUACGGGGCAUCACUGGAGUGCGGUAGGGGAGAAUGGAAUUCCUGGUGUAGCGGUGGAAUGCGCAGAUAUCAGGAGGAACACCGAUGGCGAAGGCAGUUCUCUGGGCCGUAACUGACGCUGAGGAGCGAAAGCGUGGGGAGCGAACAGG